CAUAAGCCUUUCUUUAUGUUAAAAAGGAAAUAAUAAUUGAGUUAUCCCUGUAAGAUUCUCUCUACUCCUAGUGUGCCCCAUUUUCUUAGUCAUCCGUAACCAGCAGCCGGCCAUUAUCAGGAGCCUCAUAUCAGGUCAGAGUUUUACGUGAGGAAUCACAAACAAGCAAAUAAAAUGACAAAUGAAGCAGUACAGAAGGACCUGAUCCAUCGCCUCCUAUGACCGCCACAGUAAAACUCUAAUUUGGCAAGUACUUAAGACGCCAGUAAAUAAAAUUUCCACAACCAAGUAAAACUACCAAGAAAAACUCCCAUCAGUUAAAACACCGUCUCCUCGUAAAUUCUAAGGACUUGCAAUAAGCAGGAGAUGGAGAGAGGAGAGUAAAAGAGGCCAGAGCUGAUGUUUCUUUUAAAAAUUCUCCAUAGAAAGAACCCGUUGACCACCUGCUGCAGGAGGACCUCGAACUUGAAACCCGAAGAUCAUUUCCGGAGGCCAGCGAGGAGGAACACGAGGAGGACGAGGGGCGUCGAGGGGACUGGCAACAGAAAAGGGUUGAGGAAAGCACAGGGAGAGAGUUUUUUUUAAAAGGUUGCUAAUCUGAAGUUAAAGAGUUCAUCAACCGCAGAGAUGCAACGACAACCAGCUUUUUGGCAAGCUCCAGUGCAGGUACAAUCAACCCGACAGACACCAGGAUCCAGCAGGUGGGCAAGCUAUGUUAAGUCACUCAGAUAAGACCUUACUAUAGACUUUGGUAAAUUCAAUGAAAGACGAAAGAGAUUUGCUGCAUCCAGAGCCUGAGGUAUUCAAAGGGGCUUUAUUAGUUUUACAUGGAUUCAUAUCUCAGAAAUUUUCAUCGAAUCAAAGAGUUUCAUAUCCUGCAGAAGAGUUGUUCUAUCUAGGAAAAUACAUUGAUGGGAAGGCUAAGACUGCAGUUAAAGGUCAUUUAUGAGUCCAUGCAGAAGCAGCAUAUCAAAGAGCUAAGAGUAUCUUGAUAGAAAUGGUAAUGAAUUUAUAGCAGCCAUUGUUUUCAGGAAGAAAUUAAGAGUGGCCAGAGAUUGCUAUUAAUGAUGGUCUAACUUUACAGGAAUGAUCAGACUUCCUAAAAUUUGUGAUGCUAUAAAGACUACAACAAUAUACUUACAUAUUUUAAAUGACCCACAGGAGGACAGCCUUGUCCUGCAAAAGUUACCUCCAGUUUUGAUGGAUAGAUGAAACAAUAUAGUACAUGAAAGGUGGUCAGAAGAAGCAGGAUAUCCACAAUUUAGUCUCUUUUGUCAGUUUAUAGAAAAGGAGGUAAAGGAAGGUUGUAAUCCAAUAUUUUUUUACACUGCAGUAAUGUUAGAGUCAUAGUAAAGGCCCAACUGUAUCUAAAGGAAACAGGGAUGGUAAGAUAGAAGCUAAUAAAACUUUUUUGGUUUGUGGUUAAUGCAACUGAUGCCAAGGAGAAUGAACUACAAGAAGAGAAGUCUCAUAAUGAUGAUAGGAAACAGAGUACCAGAAAAUUACAUUGUAUUUACUGUAAGGAAUAAAAUGAAUUGGAUAAUUGUAAAAGAAAAAAUAGGAACUGGAAAACAAUUAAAAAAUGGACUAUGUGUGAAAAAAAUACUUCUGUAGUUGCUUGAAGUGAGGACAUGUAAUGAAAUAUUGUAGAAAAA